rnacentral:rRNA from 1 species
UACGAACUGUGCGAACGUUAUUCGGAAUCACUGGGCUUACAGGGUGCGUAGGCGGCUUGUUAAGUAGGGUGUGAAAGCCCCCGGCUCAACCGGGGAAUGGCGUCCUAAACUGGCGAGCUAGAGUGAGAUAGGGGUAUGUGGAACUUCCGGCGGAGCGGUGAAAUGCGCAGAUAUCAGGAGGAACACCCGUGGCGAAAGCGGCUCUCUGGGACGGUACUGACGCUGAGACGCGAAAGCGUGGGGAGCAAACAGG